rnacentral:rRNA from 1 species
UACGUAGGGGGCAAGCGUUGUCCGGAUUUAUUGGGCGUAAAGAGCGUGUAGGCGGCCAGGUAGGUCGGUUGUGAAAACUAGAGGCUCAACCUCUAGACGUCGACCGAAACCAUCUGGCUAGAGUCCGGAAGAGGAGAGUGGAAUUCCUGGUGUAGCGGUGGAAUGCGCAGAUAUCAGGAAGAACACCCGUGGCGAAGGCGGCUCUCUGGGACGGUACUGACGCUGAGACGCGAAAGCGUGGGGAGCGAACAGGAUUAGAUACCCUGGUAGUCCACGCCGUAAACGAUGGGUGCUAGGUGUGGGGGGUGUCGACUCCCCCCGUGCCGCAGCUAACGCAUUAAGCACCCCGCCUGGGGAGUACGGCCGCAAGGCUAAA